rnacentral:rRNA from 1 species
UACGUAGGGGGCAAGCGUUGUCCGGAAUCAUUGGGCGUAAAGCGCGUGUAGGCGGCUCGAUAAGUCUGCUGUGAAAGUUCAGGGCUCAACCCUGAAAUGCCGGUGGAAACUGUCGGGCUAGAGUCCGGAAGAGGCGAGUGGAAUUCCUGGUGUAGCGGUGAAAUGCGCAGAUAUCAGGAGGAACACCGAUGGCGAAGGCAGGUCUCUGGGCCACUACUGACGCUGAGAAGCGAAAGCAUGGGGAGCAAACAGG